rnacentral:rRNA from 1 species
CCUGAAAGGGCGGGGUGCCCGCAAGGGAGCGUGGAGACAGGUGGUGCAUGGCUGUCGUCAGCUCGUGUCGUGAGAUGUUGGGUUAAGUCCCGCAACGAGCGCAACCCUCACCCCUAGUUGCCACCGGGUAAUGCCGAGCACUCGAGGGGAACUGCCAGCGUCAAGCUGGAGGAAGGCGGGGAUGACGUCAAGUCAUCAUGCCCCUUACGUCCUGGGCUACACACGUGCUACAAUGGCCAGUACAAAGGGAUGCGAGACCGCGAGGUGGAGCUAAUCCCAAAAAGCUGGUCUAAGUUCAGAUUGCAGUCUGCAACUCGACUGCAUGAAGGAGGAAUCGCUAGUAAUCGCGCAUCAGCCCGGCGCGGUGAAUACGUUCCCGGGCCUUGUACACACCGCCCGUCACACCACGAAAGCUUACUGUACUCGAAGUCGCUGAG